rnacentral:rRNA from 1 species
AAACCGUUCAGGGGUAAACCUAAGAAACCCAAAAGAUCGAAUGGGGAGAUUCAUCGUCGACGGCGCUGGCUACCGUUGGUGCGCGAUGCUCCGGGUGGGCCCUUGCGGUUCCAUUAGCGUGUGGCACACCACCUUCGGAUCGAACGUUCCGGCGUCGUAGUCGUGCACUUCUCCCCUAGUAGGACGUCGCGACCCGUUGUGUGUCGGUCUACGGCCCGAGUGGGCGCCUGUCGCGUCGUUUCGGCGCACGCGGCAGACCCUCGGUCGCCCGGCCGGCUGCACGACGGUACACUCACGGUAUCGGGCCGCAACCAGUCCAUUCUCGAAUGUGUGUGCGUCCAACCCGCCGCAAGCUCGGUCAGUUCUUACCCGGAGGUACGGACCCUGUGCCGUCCCCGGGCCUGGCCAGCUGUUAGCAGGCGGUGUCCUCGGACUGGCCAAAUCUCAGAUUACCGGUCAGCGACGCUAUUGCUUUGGGUACUCUCAGGACCCGUCUUGAAACACGGACCAAGGAGUCUAACAUGUGCGCGAGUCAUUGGGAUGCAUAAACCUAAAGGCGAAAUGAAAGUGAAAGUCGGCCUUCGCGCCGAUCGAGGGAGGAUGGGCCGCGUAACCAUGCGGCCUCGCACUCCCGGGGCGUCUCGUUCUCAUUGCGAGAAGAGGCGCACCUAGAGCGUACACGUUGGGACCCGAAAGAUGGUGAACUAUGCCUGGUCAGGACGAAGUCAGGGGAAACCCUGAUGGAGGUCCGUAGCGAUUCUGACGUGCAAAUCGAUCGUCGGAACUGGGUAUANGGGCGAAAGACUAAUCGAA